AUACUUACCUGGCAAGGGAGACACAAUGAUUACGAAGGUGGUUCACCCAGGGUGAGGCUUAGCCAUUGCACUUGGGCUAAGCUGACCUCUGCAAAUUCCCCAAAGGCGGGAAUCUCGACUGCAUAAUUUGCAGUAGUGGGGGACUGCAUUCGCGCUCUCUUCUG